rnacentral:rRNA from 1 species
UGCCUACGGGGGGCAGCAGUAGGGAAUUUUCGUCAAUGGGCGCAAGCCUGAACGAGCGAUGCCGCGUGAGUGAAGAAGGUCUUCGGAUCGUAAAACUCUGUUGUUAGAGAAGAAAGUGCGUGAGAGUAACUGUUCACGUUUCGACGGUAUCUAACCAGAAAGCCACGGCUAACUACGUGCCAGCAGCCGCGGUAAUACGUAGGUGGCAAGCGUUAUCCGGAUUUAUUGGGCGUAAAGGGAACGCAGGCGGUCUUUUAAGUCUGAUGUGAAAGCCUUCGGCUUAACCGGAGUAGUGCAUUGGAAAA